GGUUACCAAGGUUCUGACGUUACCAUUAAGAGCCUCUUGUAUUGCCAUUCUAGUGUGGAUAUAGAGGAGGAUCCCGAUGUGAAAGAUACUAUGACAAUGAGAGAGCUCCGGAAGGCCUUUGAGACUUCAGUGAAGGUUUCAGGAGCCAAAGCACACGCACCAAUGGCCAGCUUUACAGAGAACAGCGCCAGGUUUAGGAAGACGGCAACAACAGAGGCCACAGAGCUCCACAAACUUCUGGGCAGCCAAACGAAUCUGAACCAGAUCACUUAACAUUACAGCUAAAUCAUUGUACUGUUGAAAUGUGAUACUUACCUAUAACAUUAAAAGUUCAUUCAACAAUUGUUGAGAGAAAACUCUACUUUUCUCUUUACUAUUUUAUAAAUAUUACCUUUGUAGA